AUGCGGAGAAGUGGGCAGGCACCUGCUGCAGAGAGAUGAAGUGGAGUCGUCAGCUUGCUUGCCCAGGGGAUGUGGGCAUCACGAACCCAGCCGGAAGAAUUCCUUGGUGAAGUUCUAUCACCGGACAGUAGGAAUUACUGGCCACGGGAAGCCACUCGUGUGGUCCUGGAGUAGCUUGGCACGCCCGAGGUUCACAGCCUUGCUCGGCUUCAGGUAAACCUACAAAACCCUGAAGGCUUAGGGGAUAAUUUUACAAAGCCACCGAGGCGAAUGGAAUGAUAAUUGUACCACAAGGGACGAAUGAGAGAGAAAUGGACGCAUCCAGGAAAGGGCUUCACACGUUCAGGCUUUGAACCUGUCUCUACCGGAAAUCCCAGCCGAGGGAAUUUUGACGCUGCCCUCCAUCCGUUACAGAUCUCAUGCUCUAACCACCUACAUUUUCAUCUUAUUUUCUCUGAGAGGGAUCUUGGGCCAUUCCCUUUGGCUCUGAGCUGUGCACCUACCCUAUUACUUUAAAAAAAACUCUACAGAUCAGCUGACCUUCAACUAACUUUAUGGACUACCUAUGGCAUGACAAGAUCCACGUUUGAAGCUUUUACAAAUCUGAUCUCAUUUACAUUAAGCCUGAC